rnacentral:rRNA from 1 species
UGAGUAGGCGGUUACAUAUGUCAGAUGUAAAAGGCACAGGCUUAACUUGUUUUAGCAUUUGAAACUGUGUGACUUGAGUGCAGGAGAGGUAAGUGGAAUUCCUAGUGUAGCGGUGAAAUGCGUAGAUAUUAGGAGGAACACCAGUGGCGAAGGCGACUUACUGGACUGUAACUGACGCUGAGUCACGAAAGCGUGGGUAGCAAACAG